CCUACGGGUGGCAGCAGUGGGGAAUAUUGGGCAAUGGGCGCAAGCCUGACCCAGCAACGCCGCGUGAAGGAAGAAGGCUUUCGGGUUGUAAACUUCUUUUCUCAGGGACGAAGCAAGUGACGGUACCUGAGGAAUAAGCCACGGCUAACUACGUGCCAGCAGCCGCGGUAAUACGUAGGUGGCAAGCGUUAUCCGGAUUUACUGGGUGUAAAGGGCGUGUAGGCGGGAAAGCAAGUCAGAUGUGAAAACCAUGGGCUCAACCUGUGGCCUGCAUUUGAAACUGUUUUUCUUGAGUACUGGGGAGGCAGACGGAUUUCCUAGUGUAGCGGUGAAAUGCGUAGAUAUUAGGAGGAACACCAGGGGCGAAGGCGGUCUGCUGGACAGCAACUGACGCUGAGGCGCGAAAGCGUGGGGAGCAAACAGGAUUAGAUACCCUAGUAGUC
rnacentral:rRNA from 1 species